AUCCAAGUCAUUUCUCCGACUCUGAAAAUUCCUUUCUGUUUAACUUCAGAGCUGUCGACCGCAAUUUGCAAGACAUGCAAAACAGCAGCACUUGUUUGCUGCAACAAAGGCAAACCCAGCAACGCAAGCGUCCCUCAACACCGUAAUAACGGGCUGCAUCCCACCACGAGAGACUGAGUCUUUGGGUUCAGAGUAGAGGCCAGACUGACAACACUGCAGCACCUGGAUAUGCAGACUGGAUUUUCACUGCCUUCAGAAAUCAGGCACUUUGGGCAGGCCCAUGAAGCAGCUAGAUUUCCCAGGAGGGCCGACUGCAGAGAUCCAUUAAUAAGAAACAUGAAAACCUGUAAUAAAAUUUGAAAAUCUCCUCCCAAAACUAAAGGAUUCCUGAUCAACACCGCAUCUGCAAGACAGAUUGUCCACUGCAGAGAAGUUACGCGCAAAGGUGAGCACUCCUUUUCCAGCAUGCUUUGCAGGAAGUUGGUAUUAAAGUGCUCGGCAAGCGAGCUGCAAGUGUUUGCUCCUGAAGCAACAAGCUGCUUCUGCAGCUCCCGGUGCUGGCGGGCUUUGUCCUCACUGUGCUUCGCAGAAUUGCCCUCGUGCUGCCAAGCCCAGGUGCUCAAAUAUCACGAGUCUGGUCCCACCUCUUGCCCCUGAAACACUGGUUUACAAAUAGAAGAUUUCUUAAAAUGACAAAUGUGGAAGAUGGUGGUUCUCCCUCCCCCCAAAUGCCCUUUUGCUGUGUGAGGCCUUUCAGGCUCCAGUUCUCUAGCUUUUCCCUGCAACUCACAAGACCAGAAACUUACUUUUUUAGCUAAAAGUGGAAUUUCCCAUCUAAUCAUUCGACACCAGCAACUGGAGCUUUGUGAAACGACGUCAGCUAUCUAGAGACUUGCAAUAGAAAUGUACCAGCUGACGAUGCUGAUUGCAGAGAAACUUCCUGGAGGACAAAGCACUCGGACUCCAGAGCUCUCUGCUCCUAUGGAGGAGCAAAGAGAAGGAUUUAACAAUUUAUUAAGGGCUGGAGCCUGACUUGAGAAGUUCAGGAAGGCAAUACCCCACCUCAUACACACCAAGUGCCCUCUGCUGAAGGGUCCUGAAGGCACGGCAUAACCACGGGUGCUUCCAGUGCUCCUUCAACCCCGCUUACAUCAGAAAGGAAAUGCAGAUCCCACCUAUGCUACUCCGUAGCAGACAGAUGCAGCAUAUACCCCUUUUCUCCCUGCACAGCAUCGACUGCUGCCAGCUACAGGAUGUCAGAUUUGAAGGACCAAUCUGUCUGAGACUGCACAACAAAAUCCUUCACUCUUACACCAAUUCCCUAGAGGCAUUUCUGCAGCUUAAAUGAGUGAAUAGAGUUCAUUUAUAAACAACUAUAAUACAGAAAUUACUUUGUUGAUGUUUUUCAUUUAUCUAAAAUGUGCCCAGCUACAAUGGGAGCUGCCUACACAAUUUUCCAUUGAAAAUUUCACAUGAGUGACUAUAAAUGAAGCAACACCCACUCACCACUCAUUUUAACUUGUGACAGAAACUGUCAUGCCUGUAUGAACACAUUUGCACCGCAGAUAUGUCACGCAGGUCUCCUUCCAUGUGUCU